rnacentral:rRNA from 1 species
GACGGAGGGGGCUAGCGUUGUUCGGAAUUACUGGGCGUAAAGAGUGCGUAGGUGGUUUAGUAAGUUGGAAGUGAAAGCCCGGGACUUAACCUCGGAAUAGCUUUCAAAACUACUAAUCUAGAGUGUAGUAGGGGAUGAUGGAAUUCCUAGUGUAGAGGUGAAAUUCUUAGAUAUUAGGAGGAACACCGGUGGCGAAGGCGGUCAUCUGGGCUACAACUGACACUGAUGCACGAAAGCGUGGGGAGCAAACAGG